rnacentral:lncRNA from 10 species
UAAAUAGGCAAAAAAAAUGUACCUUCGAAGUCCAUCAGUAAGCUGGCAGAAGUCAAUAUUGAAGAAGUUUUUAACAUCAAUAAUCAAGCUCCGGUUGUUAAUUCCUUAGAUUGGCUUUAGUAACUGAGAGAAUAUUUAAUAUUGAGAUAAGGUCUUCAGAUUUUUUAACUUCCUUCAUCUCAUCUCUGCCUCCCUGAAAAACCUAUUGAUGUGUUUGUGGAAUAUUCAUUCAUUCAUGUAAUAAAUACUUCUAAAUUACGAGCUGAGUUGGGUCGAUGGUUCUCAGCACUUCAAACAGUGUGAAUGGUUGGGAACAUGAUUUCUUGUUCCACUACUUUUCUGUAAAGAAAUGUCAAGGAUUGCUGGGUCAAAUGGUAUUUCUGGUUCUAAAAUCACCACAUUGUCUUCCACGAUGGUUGAACUAAUUUACAUGCCCAUCAACAGUAUAAAAGUGUUCCUAUUUCUCCACAUCCUCUCCAGCAUCUAUUGUGUUUACAGUAUUCUCUGAUGGUAGUUUGCAUUUCUGUGGGAUCAGUGGUGUUAUCACCUUUAUCAUUUUUUAUUGU